GACGAACGCUGGCGGCGUGCCUAAUACAUGCAAGUCGAGCGGACCGAAUGAGAGCUUGCUCUUGUUCGGUUAGCGGCGGACGGGUGAGUAACACGUGGGCAACCUACCCGUAAGACCGGGAUAACUCCGGGAAACCGGAGCUAAUACCGGAUAACACCAAAGACCGCAUGGUCUUUGGUUGAAAGGUGGCUUUGGCUACCACUUACGGAUGGGCCCGCGGCGCAUUAGCUAGUUGGUGAGGUAACGGCUCACCAAGGCGACGAUGCGUAGCCGGCCUGAGAGGGUGACCGGCCACACUGGGACUGAGACACGGCCCAGACUCCUACGGGAGGCAG
rnacentral:rRNA from 1 species